GUGUGUUGAAACGUCUAGGGCAUA
rnacentral:miRNA from 1 species